GGAGUCUAACAUGUGCGCGAGUCGCUGGGAGCACUCGCUAAACCCGGAGGCGCAGUGAAAGCGGGGCGCGGUCGUAAGGCCGCCGUCGGGAGGAUGCCGUGCGGAGAACCCGCGCGGCCGCACUCCCGGGGCGCCUCGGCUUCGGCCGCAGGCGCACCCCGAGCGCACACGUUGGGACCCGAAAGAUGGUGAACUAUGCCUGGUCAGGACGAAGUCAGGGGAAACCCUGAUGGAGGUCCGCAGCGAUUCUGACGUGCAAAUCGAUCGUCAGAGCUGGGUAUAGGGGCGAAAGACUAAUCGAACCAUCUAGUAGCUGGUUCCCUCCGAAGUUUCCCUCAGGAUAGCUGGCGCCCAUUUGGAGAGGGACGAGUCUCAUCCGGUAAAGCGAAUGAUUAGAGGCCUUGGGGCCGAAACGACCUCAACCUAUUCUCAAACUUUAAAUGGGUGAGAUCUCCGGCUUGCUCGACUGAAGCCGCGAGAGUACUGGAUCAGGGUGCCAAGUGGGCCAUUUUUG
rnacentral:rRNA from 1 species